CCGAGCCGUAUGAGGCGGGAAACUCUCAAGUACGGUUCUAAGGAAGGGAAUUGAACCACCUAUUCCGAC
rfam:Citrus clementina cultivar Clemenules unplaced genomic scaffold scaffold_275, whole genome shotgun sequence.